CUACGGAGGGGGUUAGCGUUGUUCGGAAUUACUGGGCGUUAAGCGCACGUAGGCGGAUUGGAAAGUUGGGGGUGAAAUCCCAGGGCUCAACCCUGGAACUGCCUCCAAAACUAACAGUCUAGAGUUCGAGAGAGGUGAGUGGAAUUCCAAGUGUAGAGGUGAAAUUCGUAGAUAUUUGGAGGAACACCAGUGGCGAAGGCGGCUCACUGGCUCGAUACUGACGCUGAGGUGCGAAAGCGUGGGGAGCAAACAGGAUUAGAAACCCUAGUAGUCC
rnacentral:rRNA from 1 species